rnacentral:misc_RNA from 1 species
AUUGAAGAGAAUGAUGUGCAGACCAAAUUGAAGCAUGUUAUCAAGUUCUUGCAACAUGGCGACAAAGUGAAGCUAUCGAUUCGUUUCCGUGGUCGUCAGAUCACUCAUCAGGAGCUAGGCCGUAAGGUAUUGGAUCGUGUGGCUCAAGAAGUAAAAGAGAUCGCCGAUGUAGAGCGCCCAGCGAAGCUAGAGGGUCGUCAGAUGAUCAUGAUUCUAAACCCAAAACAACAAUCGUAAGGAGGACUCGCUCAUGCCAAAAAUGAAGACAAAAAAAGCAGCAGCAAAACGCUUUAAGAAAACGGGUACGGGCAAAGUAAAACGUAGCCA